rnacentral:rRNA from 1 species
UACGUAGGGUGCAAGCGUUGUCCGGAAUUAUUGGGCGUAAAGCGCGUGUAGGCGGCAUUGCAAGUCGGGUGUGAAAGCCCUCAGCUCAACUGAGGAAGUGCGCCCGAAACUGCAGUGCUUGAAUACCGGAGAGGAUGGCGGAAUUCCCCAAGUAGAGGUGAAAUUCGUAGAUAUGGGGAGGAACACCGGUGGCGAAGGCGGGUCUCUGGGCAGUAACUGACGCUGAGGAGCGAAAGCGUGGGGAGCGAACAGG